UACAGAGGUCUCAAGCGUUGUUCGGAUUCAUUGGGCGUAAAGGGUGCGUAGGCGGCGCGGUAAGUCGGGUGUGAAAUCUCGGAGCUUAACUCCGAAACUGCAUUCGAUACUGCCGUGCUUGAGGACUGGAGAGGAGACUGGAAUUUACGGUGUAGCGGUGAAAUGCGUAGAUAUCGUAAGGAAGACCAGUGGCGAAGGCGGGUCUCUGGACAGUUCCUGACGCUGAGGCACGAAGGCCAGGUGAGCAAACGGG
rnacentral:rRNA from 1 species